AGAACGAACGCUGGCGGCGCGCUUAACACAUGCAAGUCGAACGAGAAGCUGUAGCAAUACAGUUGUAAAGUGGCAAACGGGUGAGUAAUGCGUGGGUAAUCUACCCUCGGGUGGGGAAUAACUCUUCGAAAGGAGAGCUAAUGCCGACAUGUGCAGCACGUUUUGCAAGGAAGUGCUGGAAAGCCGUAUCGUGGAUACGGCGCCCAAGGAUGAGCUCACGUCCUAUCAGCUUGUGGCGGGUAACGCCACAGGCUCCGACGGUAGCUGGUCUGAGAGGACGACCAGCCACACUGGCACUGCGACACGGGCCAGACUCCGUAGGGAGGCAGCAGUGAGGAAUAUGCGCAAUGGACGAAAGUCUGACGCGAGCGACGCCGCGGUGGGAUGAAGGCCGUUCGGUUCGUAAACCCGUUUCGAGGAGGAAGAGUGGCGCGGCAACCGCGCGGACGUACCGCAGACGCACGCCGACG
rnacentral:rRNA from 1 species